rnacentral:rRNA from 1 species
AACGAACGCUCGCGGCUGAUUAGCUUGUUGGUAAGGUAAGAGCUUACCAAGGCGACGAUCAGUAUCUGGUUUGAGAGGACGAUCAGACACACUGGAACUGAGACACGGUCCAGACUCCUACGGGAGGCAGCAGUGGGGAAUUUUCCGCAAUGGGCGAAAGCCUGACGGAGCAAUACCGCGUGAGGGAAGACUGCCUAUGGGUUGUAAACCUCUUUUUUUCAGGGAGGAAUAAAAUGACGUGUACCUGAAGAAUAAGCAUCGGCUAACUCCGUGCCAGCAGCCGCGGUAAU